rnacentral:sRNA from 1 species
CUGUUGCCUAGCUACAGGGGGAGGUCUCGGCUCCUUAUCUGCACCAAAGGUGAAGUCCCCUGACCAGGGCCAGAGAGUGCCACGUGCACACGCAUUUAGCCCUCCUCCUCACCUGCUUCUCACUGUCACUAGGCCUAGAAGCCAGCAAGAUUACAGAAGCCAGGGGCAUGGUUACGGUGAUGCAAGCAGGGAGGGGGCUUGCCAUCUCAUUUC